CCCGGCCCCGCUACUGUCCACGUGGAUAAGUGGAAGCGUACUUCGCAGAAGUACGUUUUCGCCUUCAGAAAGCGUAUUUCUCUUCUGCUCCAGUCGUAAGUGCGCUUUCAUAGUUUGAAAACGUAUUUUCUUCUUAGGCGCCUUCUGUUUUCUCACUCAGGGGCCUGUGUGUAGAGAUUCUUUUACAAAUCGGUCCCUGAACUUCGUCGGGCUAUAUCUUUUUACUCCCAACUCCAAAUGAGGUGAUUCCAAAGCCCAUUUCUUCGUCUCGUCGAGCCCGUUCUGUUGGUUUCAUUUCCACUAUGGUUUGACACUGUGAAAAUGACCCCUUUUGCCCUUGCCCGUAAACAGCCCCUCCGAGAGAGAACUGUUUCCGGCAAAUCUUUCCGCGAGAUUCUCGCACGUCUUCCCGGUGUUUUCUUCAUCCCCAAGGAAGCCACAAUACCCACUUGCAUGAUAGUCAUGCAGUAGCCAUGGUUUUCAACUUGAAUAUUUAUUAAAUGAUUGCUUGUUUAAAAUAUAGUUAUCGUUGUUUUGGUAAUGCUUCUGGGUUAGUGCUUACUUGCUUGCUAUGUUGUUAUGCACCUGGUUAUCAUGCCCUGCUAGUUGCUAGUAUUACUUUCAUAUUUCCAUGCUUGAUAGUAGUACAUGUUGGGUUGGUCAUGUUCUUCGGUGCAUGACUAACGUCGGUUAUCGAGUACUGUUAAUAUGCGUUGUUCCUUUGCUGUUAGUUGGUUAAGUGUUACUCGGUAAUAUUAUUGAUGAGUUCUUGCAUGGUAUUUAUAGUUGAUGUGAGUGGUCAUGUUUUACUAUGAGUAGUGUUGCACUUGUAUUAUUUAUGCUCAUCAUUAUGCCAUGUUCAGUUGGAGAUUAUUCAUAGUUGAUAUGGUGGAUCGUUAUGUUGUACCCUCAUGCUUAUGUUGAUCUCACACUAGUAGAAAACAGGGCUUUGGUCACAGGGCAGUUUUCACAUUAGUCCCGGUUCAGUCACGAACCGGGACUAAUGUGAGCAUUUAUCCCGGUUCGUGCGGCUAAGGCAUUAGUCCCGGUUCACCUGGGCCCUUUAGUCCCGGUUGGUGCCACGAACCGGGACUAAAGGGUGUGAUGCCCAUUAGUCCCGGUUGGUGGCACCAACCNNNNNNNNNNNNNNNNNNNNNNNNNNNNNNNNNNNNNNNNNNNNNNNNNNNNNNNNNNNNNNNNNNNNNNNNNNNNNNNNNNNNNNNNNNNNNNNNNNNNNNNNNNNNNNNNNNNNNNNNNNNNNNNNNNNNNNNNNNNNNNNNNNNNNNNNNNNNNNNNNNNNNNNNNNNNNNNNNNNNNNNNNNNNNNNNNNNNNNNNNNNNNNNNNNNNNNNNNNNNNNNNNNNNNNNNNNNNNNNNNNNNNNNNNNNNNNNNNNNNNNNNNNNNNNNNNNNNNNNNNNNNNNNNNNNNNNNNNNNNNNNNNNNNNNNNNNNNNNNNNNNNNNNNNNNNNNNNNNNNNNNNNNAAGAAAAUGAUGGAAGUGUCAAAAAAAUAAAAUAAAAUAAGUUUCCCAUGUGAUAUAUGGUCUAGUUGUUGGGAAAAUUAACAAAUAUGAAUUUCGACUUUAUUUGCAAAAUCUCUCUGGAAUUUCUUAAAAUGGCAUAACUUUUGCAUACGAACUCGGAUGAAAAAGUUUUUUAUAUGAAAAAUCAUCUACUCGAAAAGUUACAUCCAAAUUUAACCGGGGGAACCCCGUUAAACAUUUUCAAAAUCCUCAAAAACCUAACAGAAAAAAAAGAUACGGGGCUUUUAAGAUCUGGAGAGGCAAAAAAAUUCAAAAAAAUUCAAAUUGUGGUCAAACUGUGGUCAAACAAUGGUCAAACUAAUUAUUCUAAAAUAUUAGUGUUACUAAAUAAUUAUUUCAGUUGUUUUGAAUUUUGGUCAAAUCUGGUAAAACUGUGGUCAAAUCUGGUUAAACUGUGGUCAAACAAUGGUCAAACUAAUUAUUCCAGAAAUAUUAGUGUUACUAAAUAAUUAUUGUUUUUUAAAACAAUAGUUUCAAACUCAAACAGUGAGUUCAUGCUCAAGCUAAAUUCCUGAGGGUUAAUAGGAUUGACAUCUUACUAUUGUCAGGAAAACAACAUGUGCAGACUUGGAAACGAGGGAGAAUAGAACCCGGAAGUUAGGCGUGCUCAGGCUGGAGUAGUGAGAGGAUGGGUGACCAUCCAGGAAGUUAGAUGAUUUGGAAUGAUGAGGGGUGAUUAGAGAUUAGAGGAUAAAUUGAGCAGUGAUGAGGGGUGGUGAUUAGAGAUUAGAGGUUAAAAUAAUUCAAAAUUUCAAAAUAAAAAAAAAUAAAAAAAAUUCGCAAAAAUAAUUUCAAAAAAAAUCAUAAAAUUUCCUUUAGUCCCGGUUGGUAACACCAACCGGGACUAAAGGUGGAGCUCCAGUCUGCGUCCACGUGGACGGCCUUUAGUCCCGGUUCGUGUAAGAACCGGGACUAAAGGGGGGAGGCAUUAGUAACGACCCUUUAGUCCCGGUUCAAAAACCGGGACUAAAGGCCCUUACCAACCGGGACAAAAGCCCCCUUUUCUACUAGUGUCAUGCUCAUGCUUUGUAUAUGCAUCAUGUUAUUUUAUCAUGGCUCAGCAUAUUGCAUUCAAGUUUAACCGGAUUAAAUUGAACUUGAACAACUGUUGGCUGAGUCAUGGUGCCACCAUAUCGAAACUGACCAGUGCAACCACGCUUACCUUAUGGGAAGGUCCUAACUGGGUCUAUUGUCGUGCCUCUCGCCGGUGCCUCCAACGAGGGAAGGUUAUGGGCACGCGCUACCCUAAUCAGGUAGGAUUGUGUGUCUGUUGUUGUUAUUAUGGAUACGGUCCCCGUGAGGGACGUUUUGGCCACGACGGUGGUUGUUGUGUCUUUGGUAGACACGGGGCCACCCAGGACUAGCCUAGUUGGGAGUGGGUCGGAGUGGCCGGGAGAGUGUCAUGGCAAUAGAUCGGUUUUGUUGGAACGUCGUUGGUCCACCCGAAUGGGAGUGCGAGGCCAUGGGUUCCGUGGUGUGGGUACAGUGUACUAACCUCUGCAGAGUGUAUAUUAAAUCUAUCGAUAGCCGCUUCCGCGGAUAAGGGCCCAGUUCGUGUCGGUCACACUGUGAGUCAACAGUAUUAAUAAUAACUUGAUUAAUGACAACCCCGGUUCGAUGAUGAGAUAAGUUGGUUGUGAUCGCCGGAAAGAUCACCGUUUGAGACCAAGUGUUGGUCAUGGUUGUGAUCACCGAAAUGAUCACCGUGGUAUCGAGGAUACCGAGUUGUUGGAUAUUCGUGAUGUUGUGCGAGAAUCAUGGGUAAAGAUCAAGCUCCUUGUGGUCAUUUAAUGAUUACUACGGUAUUGUUGAUACCAAGCUUGAUUUGAUCCUGAGAUGAUUGUGUGAUGUCCGAGGUUGGUAAGUGAUGCAUGUGAUGGUUACGUAGUAAGCCGAGCAGAAUAAAUAGUGCAUAUAGUGUCUUCAUGUUGCAUGCUAGUAUCGUCGAAUUCAUAUGUUCAUGCUAUGCUCAUGUUGUUCUAGCUGUAUCAUGUUCAUGUUGCGCAAGUCAUGUUGUUAUGAGGAUCUCAUGUUAAUUCCUGCUUAACCUGUAAAUGCCAUGCUGAUGUUUGUCUUGAAUGCUUCUGGUUAAUGUGAGCUUGCAAGUACAUUCAAUGUACUGACCUGGCAUGUCAUGCCAGCUUGCAGGUCGUGCCUGGAUUUCUUGCUUGUUUGGUGUUGUUCCUGUGUUUGCGAGCUAGGAUAAGCAUUCCAGCCAGAGUCCCUGCGGAGUGGAGUUCACCACCGUCGUCGUUGUUCCGCCGCCAGUAGUUGUUGCGCUGCCUCAACUUGCUAUGCUACUUGCAUAGAGCAACUGAGGAUGGCGUAGUGUCGUCGUGCCGAUGUUAUUCAUUGUAAUAUCGGAGACCUUGUAUUCAUAUUCGUGUAUUAAUAGAAAGCUGGUUUGUUCUAUGCUAAGCAGUGCCGUAUUCCAGAAGACUUCACCUCGAUCUCUAGGCUGGAAUACGGGGCGUUCCGGUUUUCUCUGAGCCGGGGUGCCACAGGCUUGGUAUCAGAGCAGGUCUGGCUGUAGGAUGCCCUAGCCCGCCCGAACGUUAGAAAGCAGUAGUAUAGACCCCAGUUGGUUUGUUGCAUUUGUUUGUCGCAUAGCAUGUAUAUAGAUUAUUAUUUUGUCACUAACGGUUGAUCUUGUGAGUGUAGGCGGCAUCGUUUUCGGUCCACCGCCUGCACCCUCCUUCUUAGCAUGCCUGCUCUUUGGUGUGAUUCGACCACAUCAUCAUCCAUUGCCCUCCAUCUUGUUCUUUUGGCAACCCUUGCUGAUCUUUGUUAUCAGAAAAGGGUAAUGCCAUUAAACCCCGUCUUCCACUGUUAUCUUGCCUUGUCAUUUCAUUCUUUGGACGGGUACGAUUCCCUUCGUACGCUUGAUGAUUAGGUGGUCGUGACUUUUGUGUCUAGCUACUUGAUCGUCAAGUCCGUCCUCACCUGUGUAUCCAUCCAGAUCCAGCCACUGUUCAGCCAGUGCUUGGUGUAGCUUCGGUUACGCCAACUCCUUCCACACAUGGAUAUAAUUUUCGUGCACACCGCCACAGCAUAUUAGACCGUAGUACCGGAGUUUCCAUGCGAUUAGUGUGCUUAGGUGUGCAUGCAUAUUAUGGUGUGAGUAGCAGUAAUAUGUGAAGAUUGCUUGAUUAAUUAUAUUAGUAGUAUGCUUGUGUGCUUUUGUUUUAGUUAUAUCUUUUGUUUCUUUCUUUGGGCCUUUGGUGUUACAAAUUUUCCCCUAUUAAAGUUGCUCGUCAGCCGACACCGGACACGAAGAGUCAGCAAGAAAUGCAUAUAUUUGGAAACUCGGUUAAACAAGAAUGGAAUUGUCAGCAGACUGCAGUGAAAUUGGAAAUAGCUCGUCUGAAUACAAAAGAAAUCCUGGAUGGAAUGUCAGUAUAAAGUUUGCAUUAACAUGCACUCCUCACAACAGUAUGGAAUUCUUAGCCGACUGCAUUCAGAUUGGGGGAUAUCUGGUCAUGUUACUGAGUGUCAAGUCUCCCUCAGCGUGUACUCCUCAUAGCACAAAUGAUCAAAUCAGCAAGAAGAUAAAUUGUGUGCAUGGUUGAUAAAAUAUUAUCAAAGGUAUGGCUCAGAUACAAGUUUAAUUUUUCGUUGAGGAUGAUUUUGGAACCCGAUGUACCUGGAAGCAAGCAAAAAUAUGGCAUGUACUCAGAAAGGAGGAUAGUCCUGCAAAGCCCCGUUUCAUACAAGAAAUCAAGAACAAAAAUUUUAAGAUGGUUAUAUAUGUGGAAAUCGGUUCGCAUACCACAAUAAGAAGCUUCUGGUGUAAGAAACCCAAUCUUCCCUCGCAAGAUACCCGAGAAGCUUCCAAGGCAAGAUUCAUCUAUCUUCCUCAGUACGAUACAUGGAUGAUUUCCCGUACAAGGUACUUUGCCUUCUUCAGUAAGCUACCGCAAAAGCUUCCGGCAUAAGGUACCGAGUCUUUCCCCAGCAAAGUCUUUAAGGGGGUAAGCUUCUGAAGCACGAUACCCAGUCUUCUUCAGCAAGCUGUCCGAUGAAAGUUUCGAGCACAAACCAGCCAAUCUUCCUCAGUAAGACAUUGGUACAAGGUAGUAUGAUGUGAAUUGAUAGCAUAUGGCAGUGAAUCCCAAGAAUCAGAUCUGCAACAUUUAGGUCAGAAGCAAGAAUCAGUCAGAAUACAUGUCUGUCUCGGGAAUCAGAUUCUCAUAUAUAUGCGGUGAGCAUACCAGCAAGAUCUUACAAGUCACUCAGAUGAGGAUAUGACAACCACGUAAGGAUGGUUAAGAGAAGAAAGCCAGUAUACACCGCAGUGUGACAAAGGAUUAUGAGGAUUGACGACAUCAAUGGCUCAAUGCAAGUACCUGUGAACCUGGAAAAUGAUCCUGAUGAGCCCUUGUCCCCUUUUUUCUCCAAUGAUGGCACCAUGCCUGUGAUCUAAGCUGUUUUUAGCUAUCCUGGGUGGAUGCCGAUUUUUUAUUUCUCUCUUCAACGACUGUCACGAGUUCUGAGCUGCUUUUCGGCCGUCUCGUACAGCUGUUGAGUUUCUUUUUGUGACAGUAGCCCUAUAGCUGCUUUUUGGCUAUUUUAGGGAGCUGCCACCUUCUUCUUAUCAACCCGAUCUCAUGUUCUGAGCUGCUUUUCGGCCGUCCUGCGCCAUGGUUGAUUUAUUUCAGUAAUGUCCCAGAUCUGAGUUGUAAAGACCGUUCUGGUGGCUACUGAUUUAUUUGCCGAUUUCUUGCAAAGGUUCGGAUGAUCAUUUUCCUGCGGUCAGAACUUGAGGGGUGUUGAACCUGCCAUUUAAUGGGGUACCCUGUCAGAAAAAUGAGGAUAAGCUGCGAUUGCCGAAAAAUUGCACUGACAGUACCUAUGGUGAUACGAAGAAGCAAUAUGACCUAGCUCUUUCAGCCAAGGAUCCUGGCCAAGAAAACAAUAAUGAAGGAGCAAGACCAGUGAUGCAGGUAUGAAAAUUGUUGCAAGACCCGCGUGGUGCAGAACCACCGUCAGUCAAGUCUACAGAUAUUAUCAUACAAGUCAAACUCUUAUGCUAGCCACGACAGGCGACAAUCAAAUAUUUGGUACGGAUCCGAUACUCAAGACAGUGGAACCAGUUAAGAUGAUUCAGAAACUUCCACGAUAAGCCAGAAUUUGUCAGGAAAGCGGUUAUGACCCAACUCGCUGUUUGGAACCCGAAGGACCUGCAUUUAGUGGAGAAAACCAAUGCAAGGAUUUAGAGCUUGGGUGUCCACUAGAAAAAAUCUGAUCACCACUUCAUGAAAGAUUGUCAAUGCCGGAUGACACACCCAGCAGAAAUCACUCUUGGAUUUGUGAAACCGACAUAUAUUUCAGUCGUGAGAAUCCAUCACAGUCAGCUAAGUCAGCAGAUCUAAAAAGAAAUUGGAGCCUGUAUAAGCAUGAACAAGCAAGGUAAGAUCUGUCAGAAUAUGGAUAUAUUAAAGCAAACCACCCCAGGACCAGUCAGAUAAAAAUUUAGGGGGGACAAAAAUAAGAAAAAGGAUACCCGAGUUGGAAAUGAUUUCCUUAAGUCAGUAUCUUCAUACUUGUUCCCUGAGCAACCAAAUCUCGAGGACGAGAUUUCUUUAAGGGGGUAAGGUUUGUAAUAGCCUGAUUUUUGGCCCUUUCUUUUUCUUUUGUUUUUCUGAGGUUUUUGCUUGAGUUUUCUUUUUCCGUGGCUUUGUGGUCUGGAAACUGAACAAGAUGCCCUCUUGUUUAUUUCCAGAGUGGCUUGUCAUUCCCAAAUCCUUCCCUAGACCCCGUCAUUUUCAUCCUAGCCCAAAUCCCAAUAUUCUUUUUAUUGGGAAUAUUACUUUUCUACUAAAGGAAUAACUCAAGUUGCCCUAGGUUGUGAAGCAACCUUUACUUCCAUCACUCCUAAAAUUCCCAAAUAAUUCUCAUAAAUUUUUUGGGUCAUAUCUUUCCCAAAUAUGGUAAAAUAUUUCAUUUGUCAUGUUUAUCAUCAUGCUCAAAUAAUUCAUUUCCUAUUCUACCCUAAAUGGCACAUUGUGAAGCAAGUGCUAUUUUCCUUUUCCCAAGUGACCUCAAACUCCUUGGACACCUUUUCCUGUCCAUAUCAUUGCCACAUGCCAAAAUGCAACCUCAUUUGGCUAGUAAUUAUUUAAUUAUGAUUUUCCAAAGUUUCUAUCCAGAAAGAAGCUUUGUGAAGGAGGUGCAAUCUAGGCAUAUCCAAAUGAGUUUCCAUUUUGCAUGAUCCCUCAUAUCAUCAUAUCAUAGCCCUCCACCAAAGUAGAGCUCAUGUCAUGCCUCCAUGUGAGCUCAUCUUCAAUUCUUUGAUUCUGUCCAAAAUUUCAGCUUGUGAAGCAAGUAUAUUUUAUCUUGCUCCAUUAUGGCUGCCAAUUUUUCUAGGCCUUCUAUUAUCCAUAUAACCUACCUCCACCCAUUUUGGGCAUGUCUCAUCAAGCCAUUAUUUCUCUAGAAUUUUUCCAAGAUUCUGCACAGAAAUGAUGUUUGUAAAGAAAGUACCAUUUUAGCUGGUCCAUUUGGUAUGAGCUUUUUACAGCAUCUUUAUAUUUCCAUAUCAUGAGGAUUUGCCAAGUUGCAUCCCAUUCCAUAACUCCAUGUGAGUGCAUCAUCCAAAUCAAGUUUCUGGACCAAAAAUGCAGUUGCAAAGCAACCCUAUUAUUUAUUGGUCCAUUUCUUCUCUAAAUCUCCAGUAUUGUAGUUCUUCCUUAGUUAAACCUCCCAGACAACUCCUUUGACCUCAAUCAAGUCUCUGUGGAUUAGCAGUGCUCGUCCAAGUUUACUGCAGUAAACUUCAGAGCUUGAUUACCAUUUAACCAGAGAGAUUUUAACCAAACUACCACCGCAGUAGGAACCUCCCCUGGAUGAACUUGCCACUAGACAACACGCUCCAGCUCAUUUCCCCCGCUACAUGCCAGUGCACGCGGUAACCGCGUUAAUGGCAAGCCUGUGCGCGCGCUCUGCUACAAUUGGCCACACCCAGGAUGGAUUCUUGCUCGGGCCCCUCCUCCUCUCAUCGUCUUAGCACGCGUGAGCAUGUCCCUUGGCUUCACCUCGUCGUCGCCGAUCACAUGGACCCCGCUCCCCCUCCGGCAGCUUCCUCACCAACGAAAGCCGCAGCGUGCCCACGGGCGCACAGUGGCGUUUGGCUCGGUUCAUCGCCGUCGCCUUCCUCCCUGCGCUCCGUUGGCCUCCUCUGCCCCGUGAGGCACUCCACUGCUCCUCCCCCGUCGUCUACCACCGAGCUCAUGCGCGUGCACACGCGUCCGCGGCGCCGGACACGCGUCCGCGGCGGCGCCAGCGCGACACUCCCUCGCCCGGCUAUAUAUAGCCAUUCCCGCGGCCUCCCGAGCACCUCAUCAGCCUCGCCUCACUCCCAGCUUCCUCCUCGUCCACUAGCCCGGGCUCGAGCAGCUCUCCUCGACCCCCAUCGCCGCCAUGCCCGCCGCUCUGCUCAGCUCAAAUUCAAGCUGGGCAGUGCCCCUCCCCCUCUCUUUCCACCACCAGUAGACUCCUCCUCCACCUAGACUUCGCCCCCGUGCUCUCCCUCCCCUCCGGUGGCCUUCUGCCAUGAGCUCGCCGCCGACCGAAGAUCGCCGUCCGCCGCGGCUGGCCUCCCGCUCAGCCGAGCCCUACCCCGCGGCUGCAUCUUGCCUGGAUGGAUCCGCCUCGUCGCGCUGAUCACGCCGGUAGGUCGCACGCCGCGAGAGGUGGCCGGAGUGGCCGGGAAUCCGCGUCGGGCCGCCGGUCUCGUCUCUACAUCGCGGGCGAGCGGGAGGAGGAAGAAGGAGCCAGGCCAGGCGGGCCCCAUCUCCACGCGGCCCCACCUGUCGGCGGGCAGGCGUUGACCCCGCCUGCCUAGCUGGAUAAGUGAUGGGCCCCACAGCCCGUGGGACCCGCACGUCAGCGACCCCACGCCCGGCCCCGCCACUGUCCACGUGGAUAAGUGGAAGCGUACUUCGCAGAAGUACGUUUUCGCCUUCAGAAAGCGUGUUUCUCUUCUGCUCCAGUCGUAAGUGCGCUUUCAUAGUUUGAAAACUAUUUUCUUCUUAGGCGCCUUCUGUUUUCUCACUCAGGGGCCUGUUUGUAGAGAUUCUUUUACAAAUCGGUCCCUGAACUUCGUCGGGCUAUAUCUUUUUACUCCCAACUCCAAAUGAGGUGAUUCCAAAGCCCAUUUCUUUGUCUCGUCGAGCCCGUUCUGUUGGUUUCAUUUUCACUAUGGUUUGACACUGUGAAAAUGACCCUUUUUCCCUUGCCCGUAAACAGCCCCUCCGAGAGAGAACUGUUUCUGGCAAAUCUUUCCGCGAGCUUCUCGCACUUCUUCCCUGUGUUUUCUUCAUCCCCAGGCAAGCCACAAUACCCACUUGCAUGAUAGUCAUGCAGUAGCCAUGGUUUUCAACUUGAAUAUUUAUUAAAUGAUUGCUUGUUUAAAAUAUGGUUAUCGUUGUUUUGGUAAUGCUUCUGGGUUAGUGCUUACUUGCUUGAUAUGUUGUUAUGCACCUGGUUAUCAUGCCCUGCUAGUUGCUAGUAUUACUUUCAUAUUUCCAUGCUUGAUAGUAGUACAUGUUGGGUUGGUCAUGUUCUUCGGUGCAUGAUUAACGUCGGUUAUCGAGUACUGUUAAUAUGCGUUCUUCCUUUGCUGUUAGUUGGUUAAGUGUUACUCGGUAAUGUUAUUGAUGAGUUCUUGCAUGGUAUUUAUGGUUGAUGCUAGUGGUCAUGUUUUACUAUGAGUAGUGUUGCACUUGUAAUAGUUAUGCUCGUCAUUAUGCCAUGUUCAGUUGGAGAUUAUUCAUAGUUGAUAUGGUGGAUCGUUAUGUUGUACCCUCAUGCUUAUGUUGAUCUCAUGCUCAUGCUUUGUAUAUGCAUCAUGUUAUUUUAUCAUGGCUCAGCAUAUUGCAUUCAAGUUUAACCAGAUUAAGUUCAACUUGAACAACUGUUGGCUGAGUCAUGGUGCCACCAUAUCGAAACUGACCAGUGCAACCACGCUUACCUUAUGGGAAGGUCCUAACUGGGUCUAUUGUCGUGCCUCUCGCCGGUGCCUCCAACGAGGGAAGGUUAUGGGCGCGCGCUACCCUGAUCAGGUAGGCGGACAUAACCUUGUGUGCCCGUUGUUGUUAUUAUGGAUCCGGUCCCCGUGAGGGACGUUUUGGCCACGACAGUGGUCGUUGUGUCUUUGGUAGAUACGGGGCCACCCAGGACUAGCCCAGUUGGGAGUGGGUCGGAGUGGCCGGGAGAGUGUCAUGGCAAUAGAUCGGUUUUGUCGGAAUGCCAUUGGUCCACCCGAAUGGGAGUGCGAGGCCAUGGGUUCCGUGGUGUGGGUACAGUGUACUAACCUCUGCAGAGUGUAUAUUAAAUCUAUCGAUAGCCGCGCCCGCGGAUAAGGGCCCAGUUCGUGUCGGUCACACCGUGAGUCAACAGUAUUAAUAAUAACUUGAUUAAUGACAACCCCGGUUCGAUGAUGAGAUAAGUUGGUUGUGAUCGCCGGAAAGAUCACCGUUUGAGACCAAGUGUUGGUCAUGGUUGUGAUCGCCGAAAUGAUCACCGUGGUAUCGAGGAUACCGAGUUGUUGGAUAUUCGUGAUGUUGUGCGAGAAUCAUGGGUAAAGAUCAAGCUCCUUGUGGUCAUUUAAUGAUUACUACGGUAUUGUUGAUACCAAGCUUGAUUUGAUCCUGAGAUGAUUGUGUGAUGUCCGAGGUUGGUAAGUGAUGCAUGUGAUGGUUACGUAGUAAGCCGAGCAGAAUAAAUAGUGCAUAUAGUGUCUUCAUGUUGCAUGCUAGUAUCGUCGAAUUCAUAUGUUCAUGCUAUGCUCAUGUUGUUCUAGCUGUAUCAUGUUCAUGUUGCGCAAGUCAUGUUGUUACGAGGAUCUCAUGUUAAUUCCUCCUUAACCUGUAAAUGCCAUGCUGAUGUUUGUCUUGAAUGCUUCUGGUUAAUGUGAGCUUGCAAGUACAUUCAAUGUACUGACCUGGCAUGUCAUGCCAGCUUGCAGGUCGUGCCUGGAUUUCUUGCUUGUUUGGUGUUGUUCCUGUGUUUGCGAGCUAGGAUAAGCAUUCCAGCCAGAGUCCCUGCGGAGUGGAGUUCACCACCGUCGUCGUUGUUCCGCCGCCAGUAGUUGUUGCGCUGCCUCAACUUGCUAUGCUGCUUGCAUAGAGCAACUGAGGAUGGCGUAGUGUCGUCGUGCCGAUGUUAUUCAUUGUAAUAUCGGAGACCUUGUAUUCAUAUUCGUGUAUUAAUAGAAAGCUGGUUUGUUCUAUGCUAAGCAGUGCCGUAUUCCAGAAGACUUCACCUCGAUCUCUAGGCUGGAAUACGGGGCGUUCCGGUUUUCUCUGAGCCGGGGUGCCACAGGCUUGGUAUCAGAGCAGGUCUGGCUGUAGGAUGCCCUAGCCCGCCCGAACGUUAGAAAGCGGUAGUAUAGACCCCAGUUGGUUUGUUGCAUUUGUUUGUCGCAUAGCAUGUAUAUAGAUUAUUAUUUUGUCACUAACGGUUGAUCUUGUGAGUGUAGGCGGCAUCGUUUUCGGUCCACCGCCUGCACCCUCCUUCUUAGCAUGCCUGCUCUUCGGUGUGAUUCGACCACAUCAUCAUCCAUUGCCCUCCAUCUCGUUCUUUUGGCAACCCUUGCUGAUCUUUGUUAUCAGAAAAGGGUAAUGCCAUUAAACCCCGUCUUCCACUGUUAUCUUGCCUUGUCAUUUCAUUCUUUGGACGGGUACGAUUCCCUUCGUACGCUUGAUGAUGAGGUGGUCGUGACUUUUGUGUCUCGCUACUUGAUCGUCAAGUCCGUCCUCACCUGUGUAUCCAUCCAGAUCCAGCCACUGUUCAGCCAGUGCUUGGUGUAGCUUCGGUUACGCCAACUCCUUCCACACAUGGAUAUAAUUUUCGUGCACACCGCCACAGCAUAUUAGACCGUAGUACCGGAGUUUCCAUGUGAUUAGUGUGCUUAGGUGUGCAUGCAUAUUAUGGUGUGAGUAGCAGUAAUAUGUGAAGAUUGCUUGAUUAAUUAUAUUAGUAGUAUGCUUGUGUGCUUUUGUUUUAGUUAUAUCUUUUGUUUGUUUCUUUGGGCCUUUGGUGUUACAAAUUUUCCCCUAUUAAAGUUGCUCGUCAGCCGACACCGGACCCGAAGAGUCAGCAAGAAAUGCAUAUAUUUGGAAACUCGGUUAAACAAGAAUGGAAUUGUCAGCAGACUGCAGUGAAAUUGGAAAUAGCUCGUCUGAAUACAAAAGAAAUCCUGGAUGGAAUGUCAGUAUAAAGUUUGCAUUAACAUGCACUCCUCACAACAGUAUGGAAUUCUCAGCCGACUGCAUUCAGAUUGGGGGAUAUCUGGUCAUGUUACUGAGUGUCAAGUCUCCCUCAGCGUGUACUCCUCAUAGCACAAAUGAUCAAAUCAGCAAGAAGAUAAAUUGUGUGCAUGGUUGAUAAAAUAUUAUCAAAGGUAUGGCUCAGAUACAAGUUUAAUUUUUCGUUGAGGAUCAUUUUGGAACCCGAUGUACCUGGAAGCAAGCAAAAAUAUGGCAUGUACUCAGAAAGGAGGAUAGUCCUGCAAAACCCCGUUUCAUACAAGAAAUCAAGAACAAAAAUUUUAAGAUGGUUAUAUAUGUGGAAAUCGGUUCGCAUAUCACAAUAAGAAGCUUCUGGUGUAAGAAACCCAAUCUUCCCUCGCAAGAUACCCGAGAAGCUUCCAAGGCAAGAUUCAUCUAUCUUCCUCAGUACGAUACAUGGAUGAUUUCCCGUACAAGGUACUCUGCCUUCUUCAGUAAGCUACCGCAAAAGCUUCCGGCAUAAGGUACCGAGUCUUUCCCCAGCAAAGUCUUUAAGGGGGUAAGCUUCUGAAGCACGAUACCCAGUCUUCUUCAGCAAGCUGUCCGAUGAAAGUUUCGAGCACAAACCAGCCAAUCUUCCUCAGUAAGACAUUGGUACAAGGUAGUAUGAUGUGAAUUGAUAGCAUAUGGCAGUGAAUCCCAAGAAUCAGAUCCGCAACAUUUAGGUCAGAAGCAAGAAUCAGUCAGAAUACAUGUCUGUCUCGGGAAUCAGAUUCUCAUAUAUAUGCGGUGAGCAUACCAGCAAGAUCUUACAAGUCACUCAGAUGAGGAUAUGACAACCACGUGAGGAUGGUUAAGAGAAGAAAGCCAGUAUACACCGCAGUGUGACAAAGGAUUAUGAGGAUUGACGACAUCAAUGGCUCAAUGCAAGUACCUGUGAACCUGGAAAAUGAUCCUGAUGAGCCCUUGUCCCCUUUUUUCUCCAAUGAUGGCACCAUGCCUGUGAUCUAAGCUGUUUUUAGCUAUCCGGGGUGGAUGCCGAUUUUUUAUUUCUCUCUUCAACGACUGUCACGAGUUCUGAGCUGCUUUUCGGCCGUCUCAUACAGCUGUUGAGUUUCUUUUUGUGACAGUAGCCCUAUAGCUGCUUUUUGGCUAUUUUAGGGAGCUGCCACCUUCUUCUUAUCAACCCGAUCUCAUGUUCUGAGCUGCUUUUCGGCCGUCCUGCGCCAUGGUUGAGUUAUUUCAGUAAUGUCCCAGAUCUGAGUGGUAAAGACCAUUCUGGUGGCUACUGAUUUAUUUGUCGAUUUCUUGCAAAGGUUUGGAUGAUCAUUUUCCUGCGGUCAGAAUUUGAGGGGUGUUGAACCUGCCAUUUAAUGGGGUACCCUGUCAGAAAAAUGAGGAUAAGCUGCGAUUGCCGAAAAAUUGCACUGACAGUACCUAUGGUGAUACGAAGAAGCAAUAUGACCCAGCUCUUUCAGCCAAGGAUCCUGGCCAAGAAAACAAUAAUGAAGGAGCAAGACCAGUGAUGCAGGUAUGAAAAUUGUUGCAAGACCCGCGUGGUGCAGAACCACCGUCAGUCAAGUCUACAGAUAUUAUCAUACAAGUCAAACUCUUAUGCUAGCCACGACAGGCGACAAUCAAAUAUUUGGUACGGAUCCGAUACUCAAGACAGUGGAACCAGUUAAGAUGAUUCAGAAACUUCCGCGAUAAGCCAGAAUUUGUCAGGAAAGCGGUUAUGACCCAACUCGCUGUUUGGAACCCGAAGGACCUGCAUUUAGUGGAGAAACCCAAUGCAAGGAUUUAGAGCUUGGGUGUCCACUAGAAAAAAUCUGAUCACCACUUCAUGAAAGAUUGUCAAUGCCGGAUGACACACCCAGCAGAAAUCACUCUUGGAUUUGUGAAACCGACGUAUAUUUCAGUCGUGAGAAUCCAUCACAGUCAGCUAAGUCAGCAGAUCUAAAAAGAAAUUGGAGCCUGUAUAAGCAUGAACAAGCAAGGUAAGAUCUGUCAGAAUAUGGAUAUAUUAAAGCAAACCACCCCAGGACCAGUCAGAUAAAAAUUUAGGGGGGACAAAAAUAAGAAAAAGGAUACCCGAGUUGGAAACGGUUUCCUUAAGUCAGUAUCUUCAUACUUGUUCCCUGAGCAACCAAAUCUCGAGGACGAGAUUUCUUUAAGGGGGUAAGGUUUGUAACAGCCUGAUUUUUGGCCCUUUCUUUUUCUUUUGUUUUUCUGAGGUUUUUGCUUGAGUUUUCUUUUUCCGUGGCUUUGUGGUCUGGAAACUGAACAAGAUGCCCUCUUGUUUAUUUCCAGAGUGGCUUGUCAUUCCCAAAUCCUUCCCUAGACCCCGUCAUUUUCAUCCUAGCCCAAAUCCCAAUAUUCUUUUCAUUGGGAAUAUUCCUUUUCUACUAAAGGAAUAACUCAAGUUGCCCUAGGUUGUGAAGCAACCUUUACUUCCAUCACUCCUAAAAUUCCCAAAUAAUUCUCAUAAAUUUUUUGGGUCAUAUCUUUCCCAAAUAUGGUAAAAUAUUUCAUUUGUCAUGUUUAUCAUCAUGCUCAAAUAAUUCAUUUCCUAUUCUACCCUAAAUGGCACAUUGUGAAGCAAGUGCUAUUUUCCUUUUCCCAAGUGACCUCAAACUCCUUGGACACCUUUUCCUGUCCAUAUCAUUGCCACAUGCCAAAAUUCAACCUCAUUUGGCUAGUAAUUAUUUAAUUAUGAUUUUCCAAAGUUUCUAUCCAGAAAGAAGCUUUGUGAAGGAGGUGCAAUCUAGGCAUAUCCAAAUGAGUUUCCAUUUUGCAUGAUCCCUCAUAUCAUCAUAUCAUAGCCCACCACCAAAGUAGAGCUCAUGUCAUGCCUCCAUGUGAGCUCAUCUUCAAUUCUUUGAUUUUGUCCAAACUUUCAGCUUGUGAAGCAAGUAUAUUUUAUCUUGCUCCAUUAUGGCUGCCAAUUUUUCUAGGCCUUCUGUUAUCCAUAUAACCUACCUCCACCCAUUUUGGGCAUCUCUCAUCAAGCCAUUAUUUCUCUAGAAUGUUUCCAAGAUUCUGCACAGAAAUGAUGUUUGUAAAGAAAGUACCAUUUUAGAUGGUCCAUUUGGUAUGAGCUUUUUACAGCAUCUUUAUAUUUCCAUAUCAUGAGGAUUUGCCAAGUUGCAUCCCAUUCCAUAACUCCAUGUGAGUGCAUCAUCCAAAUCAAGUUUCUGGACCAAAAAUGCAGUUGCAAAGCAACCCUAUUAUUUAUUGGUCCAUUUCUUCUCUAAAUCUCCAGUAUUGUAGUUCUUCCUUAGUUAAACCUCCCAGACAACUCCUUUGACCUCAAUCAAGUCUCUGUGGAUUAGCAGUGCUCGUCCAAGUUUACUGCAGUAAACUUCAGAGCUUGAUUACCAUUUAACCAGAGAGAUUUUAACCAAACUACCACCGCAGUAGGAACCUCCCCUGGAUGAACUUGCCACUAGACAACACGCUCCAGCUCAUUUCCCCCGCUACAUGCCAGUGCACGCGGUGACCGCGUUAAUGGCAAGCCUGUGCGCGCGCUCUGCUACAAUUGGCCACACCGAGGAUGGAUUCUUGCUCGGGCCCCUCCUCCUCUCAUCGUCUUAGCACGCGUGAGCAUGUCCCUUGGCUUCACCUCGUCGUCGCCGAUCACAUGGACCCCGCUCCCCCUCAGGCAGCUUCCUCACCGACGAAAGCCGCAGCGUGCCCACGGGCGCACAGUGGCGUUUGGCUCGGUUCAUCGCCGUCGCCUUCCUCCCUGCGCUCCGUUGGCCUCCUCUGCCCCGUGAGACACUCCACUGCUCCUCCCCCGUCGUCUACCAGCGAGCUCAUGCGCGUGCACACGCGUCCGCGGCACCGGACACGCGUCCGCGGCGGCGCCAGCGCGACACUCCCUCGCCCGGCUAUAUAUAGCCAUCCCCGCGGCCUCCCGAGCACCUCAUCAGCCUCGCCUCACUCCCAGCUUCCUCCUCGUCCACUAGCCCGAGCUCGAGCAGCUCUCCUCGACCCCCAUCGCCGCCAUGCCCGCCGCUCUGCUCAGCUCAAAUUCGAGCUGGGCAGUGCCCCUCCCCCUCUCUUUCCACCACCAGUAGACUCCUCCUCCACCUAGACUUCGCCCCCGUGCUCUCCCUCCCCUCCGGUGGCCUUCUGCCAUGAGCUCGCCGCCGACCGAAGAUCGCCGUCCGCCGCGGCUGGCCUCCCGCUCAGCCGAGCCCUACCCCGCGGCUGCAUCUUGCCUGGAUGGAUCCGCCUCGUCGCGCUGAUCAUGCCGGUAGGUCGCACGCCGCGAGAGGUGGCCGGAGUGGCCGGGAAUCCGCGUCGGGCCGUCGGUCUCGUCUCUACAUCGCGGGCGAGCGGGAGGAGGAAGAAGGAGCCAGGCCAGGCGGGCCCCAUCUCCACGCGGCCCCACCUGUCGGCGGGCAGGCGUUGACCCCGCCUGCCUAGCUGGAUAAGUGAUGGGCCCCACAGCCCGUGGGACCCGCACGUCAGCGACCCCACGCCCGGCCCCGCCACUGUCCACGUGGAUAAGUGGAAGCGUACUUCGCAGAAGUACGUUUUCGCCUUCAGAAAGCGUAUUUCUCUUCUGCUCUAGUCGUAAGUGCGCUUUCAUAGUUUGAAAACUAUUUUCUUCUUAGGCGCCUUCUGUUUUCUCACUCAGGGGCCUGUUUGUAGAGAUUCUUUUACAAAUCGGUCCCUGAACUUCGUCGGGCUAUAUCUUUUUACUCCCAACUCCAAAUGAGGUGAUUCCAAAGCCCAUUUCUUUGUCUCGUCGAGCCCGUUAUGUUGGUUUCAUUUUCACUAUGGUUUGACACUGUGAAAAUGACCCUUUUUUCCCUUGCCCGUAAACAGCCCCUCCGAGAGAGAACUGUUUCCGGCAAAUCUUUCCGCGAGCUUCUCGCACUUCUUCCCUGUGUUUUCUUCAUCCCCAGGCAAGCCACAAUACCCACUUGCAUGAUAGUCAUGCAGUAGCCAUGGUUUUCAACUUGAAUAUUUAUUAAAUGAUUGCUUGUUUAAAAUAUGGUUAUCGUUGUUUUGGUAAUGCUUCUGGGUUAGUGCUUACUUGCUUGAUAUGUUGUUAUGCACCUGGUUAUCAUGCCCUGCUAGUUGCUAGUAUUACUUUCAUAUUUCCAUGCUUGAUAGUAGUACAUGUUGGGUUGGUCAUGUUCUUCGGUGCAUGAUUAACGUCGGUUAUCGAGUACUGUUAAUAUGCGUUCUUCCUUUGCUGUUAGUUGGUUAAGUGUUACUCGGUAAUGUUAUUGAUGAGUUCUUGCAUGGUAUUUAUGGUUGAUGCUAGUGGUCAUGUUUUACUAUGAGUAGUGUUGCACUUGUAAUAGUUAUGCUCGUCAUUAUGCCAUGUUCAGUUGGAGAUUAUUCAUAGUUGAUAUGGUGGAUCGUUAUGUUGUACCCUCAUGCUUAUGUUGAUCUCAUGCUCAUGCUUUGUAUAUGCAUCAUGUUAUUUUAUCAUGGCUCAGCAUAUUGCAUUCAAGUUUAACCAGAUUAAGUUCAACUUGAACAACUGUUGGCUGAGUCAUGGUGCCACCAUAUCGAAACUGACCAGUGCAACCACGCUUACCUUAUGGGAAGGUCCUAACUGGGUCUAUUGUCGUGCCUCUCGCCGGUGCCUCCAACGAGGGAAGGUUAUGGGCGCGCGCUACCCUGAUCAGGUAGGCGGACAUAACCUUGUGUGCCCGUUGUUGUUAUUAUGGAUCCGGUCCCCGUGAGGGACGUUUUGGCCACGACAGUGGUCGUUGUGUCUUUGGUAGAUACGGGGCCACCCAGGACUAGCCCAGUUGGGAGUGGGUCGGAGUGGCCGGGAGAGUGUCAUGGCAAUAGAUCGGUUUUGUCGGAAUGCCGUUGGUCCACCCGAAUGGGAGUGCGAGGCCAUGGGUUCCGUGGUGUGGGUACAGUGUACUAACCUCUGCAGAGUGUAUAUUAAAUCUAUCGAUAGCCGCGCCCGCGGAUAAGGGCCCAGUUCGUGUCGGUCACACCGUGAGUCAACAGUAUUAAUAAUAACUUGAUUAAUGACAACCCCGGUUCGAUGAUGAGAUAAGUUGGUUGUGAUCGCCGGAAAGAUCACCGUUUGAGACCAAGUGUUGGUCAUGGUUGUGAUCGCCGAAAUGAUCACCGUGGUAUCGAGGAUACCGAGUUGUUGGAUAUUCGUGAUGUUGUGCGAGAAUCAUGGGUAAAGAUCAAGCUCCUUGUGGUCAUUUAAUGAUUACUACGGUAUUGUUGAUACCAAGCUUGAUUUGAUCCUGAGAUGAUUGUGUGAUGUCCAAGGUUGGUAAGUGAUGCAUGUGAUGGUUACGUAGUAAGCCGAGCAGAAUAAAUAGUGCAUAUAGUGUCUUCAUGUUGCAUGCUAGUAUCGUCGAAUUCAUAUGUUCAUGCUAUGCUCAUGUUGUUCUAGCUGUAUCAUGUUCAUGUUGCGCAAGUCAUGUUGUUAUGAGGAUCUCAUGUUAAUUCCUGCUUAACCUGUAAAUGCCAUGCUGAUGUUUGUCUUGAAUGCUUCUGGUUAAUGUGAGCUUGCAAGUACAUUCAAUGUACUGACCUGGCAUGUCAUGCCAGCUUGCAGGUCGUGCCUGGAUUUCUUUCUUGUUUGGUGUUGUUCUUGUGUUUGCGAGCUAGGAUAAGCAUUCCAGCCAGAGUCCCUGCGGAGUGGAGUUCACCACCGUCGUCGUUGUUCCGCCGCCAGUAGUUAUUGCGCUGCCUCAACUUGCUAUGCUGCUUGCAUAGAGCAACUGAGGAUGGCGUAGUGUCGUCGUGCCGAUGUUAUUCAUUGUAAUAUCGGAGACCUUGUAUUCAUAUUCGUGUAUUAAUAGAAAGCUGGUUUGUUCUAUGCUAAGCAGUGCCGUAUUCCAGAAGACUUCACCUCGAUCUCUGGGCUGGAAUACGGGGCGUUCCGGUUUUCUCUGAGCCGGGGUGCCACAGGCUUGGUAUCAGAGCAGGUCUGGCUGUAGGAUGCCCUAGCCCGCCCGAACGUUAGAAAGCGGUAGUAUAGACCCCAGUUGGUUUGUUGCAUUUGUUUGUCGCAUAGCAUGUAUAUAGAUUAUUAUUUUGUCACUAACGGUUGAUCUUGUGAGUGUAGGCGGCAUCGUUUUCGGUCCACCGCCUGCACCCUCCUUCUUAGCAUGCCUGCUCUUCGGUGUGAUUCGACCACAUCAUCAUCCAUUGCCCUCCAUCUCGUUCUUUUGGCAACCCUUGCUGAUCUUUGUUAUCAGAAAAGGGUAAUGCCAUUAAACCCCGUCUUCCACUGUUAUCUUGCCUUGUCAUUUCAUUCUUUGGACGGGUACGAUUCCCUUCGUACGCUUGAUGAUGAGGUGGUCGUGACUUUUGUGUCUCGCUACUUGAUCGUCAAGUCCGUCCUCACCUGUGUAUCCAUCCAGAUCCAGCCACUGUUCAGCCAGUGCUUGGUGUAGCUUCGGUUACGCCAACUCCUUCCACACAUGGAUAUAAUUUUCGUGCACACCGCCACAGCAUAUUAGACCGUAGUACCGGAGUUUCCAUGUGAUUAGUGUGCUUAGGUGUGCAUGCAUAUUAUGGUGUGAGUAGCAGUAAUAUGUGAAGAUUGCUUGAUUAAUUAUAUUAGUAGUAUGCUUGUGUGCUUUUGUUUUAGUUAUAUCUUUUGUUUGUUUCUUUGGGCCUUUGGUGUUACAAAUUUUCCCCUAUUAAAGUUGCUCGUCAGCCGACACCGGACCCGAAGAGUCAGCAAGAAAUGCAUAUAUUUGGAAACUCGGUUAAACAAGAAUGGAAUUGUCAGCAGACUGCAGUGAAAUUGGAAAUAGCUCGUCUGAAUACAAAAGAAAUCCUGGAUGGAAUGUCAGUAUAAAGUUUGCAUUAACAUGCACUCCUCACAACAGUAUGGAAUUCUCAGCCGACUGCAUUCAGAUUGGGGGAUAUCUGGUCAUGUUACUGAGUGUCAAGUCUCCCUCAGCGUGUACUCCUCAUAGCACAAAUGAUCAAAUCAGCAAGAAGAUAAAUUGUGUGCAUGGUUGAUAAAAUAUUAUCAAAGGUAUGGCUCAGAUACAAGUUUAAUUUUUCGUUGAGGAUGAUUUUGGAACCCGAUGUACCUGGAAGCAAGCAAAAAUAUGGCAUGUACUCAGAAAGGAGGAUAGUCCUGCAAAACCCCGUUUCAUACAAGAAAUCAAGAACAAAAUUUUUAAGAUGGUUAUAUAUGUGGAAAUCGGUUCGCAUAUCACAAUAAGAAGCUUCUGGUGUAAGAAACCCAAUCUUCCCUCGCAAGAUACCCGAGAAGCUUCCAAGGCAAGAUUCAUCUAUCUUCCUCAGUAUGAUACAUGGAUGAUUUCCCGUACAAGGUACUCUGCCUUCUUCAGUAAGCUACCGCAAAAGCUUCCGGCAUAAGGUACCGAGUCUUUCCCCAGCAAAGUCUUUAAGGGGGUAAGCUUCUGAAGCACGAUACCCAGUCUUCUUCAGCAAGCUGUCCGAUGAAAGUUUCGAGCACAAACCAGCCAAUCUUCCCUAGUAAGACAUUGGUACAAGGUAGUAUGAUGUGAAUUGAUAGCAUAUGGCAGUGAAUCCCAAGAAUCAGAUCCGCAACAUUUAGGUCAGAAGCAAGAAUCAGUCAGAAUACAUGUCUGUCUCGGGAAUCAGAUUCUCAUAUAUAUGCGGUGAGCAUACCAGCAAGAUCUUACAAGUCACUCAGAUGAGGAUAUGACAACCACGUGAGGAUGGUUAAGAGAAGAAAGCCAGUAUACACCGCAGUGUGACAAAGGAUUAUGAGGAUUGACGACAUCAAUGGCUCAAUGCAAGUACCUGUGAACCUGGAAAAUGAUCCUGAUGAGCCCUUGUCCCCUUUUUUCUCCAAUGAUGGCACCAUGCCUGUGAUCUAAGCUGUUUUUAGCUAUCCGGGGUGGAUGCCGAUUUUUUAUUUCUCUCUUCAACGACUGUCACGAGUUCUGAGCUGCUUUUCGGCCGUCUCGUACAGCUGUUGAGUUUCUUUUUGUGACAGUAGCCCUAUAGCUGCUUUUUGGCUAUUUUAGGGAGCUGCCACCUUCUUCUUAUCAACCCGAUCUCAUGUUCUGAGCUGCUUUUCGGCCGUCCUGCGCCAUGGUUGAGUUAUUUCAGUAAUGUCCCAGAUCUGAGUUGUAAAGACCGUUCUGGUGGCUACUGAUUUAUUUGCCGAUUUCUUGCAAAGGUUCGGAUGAUCAUUUUCCUGCGGUCAGAACUUGAGGGGUGUUGAACCUGCCAUUUAAUGGGGUACCCUGUCAGAAAAAUGAGGAUAAGCUGCGAUUGCCGAAAAAUUGCACUGACAGUACCUAUGGUGAUAAGAAGAAGCAAUAUGACCCAGCUCUUUCAGCCAAGGAUCCUGGCCAAGAAAACAAUAAUGAAGGAGCAAGACCAGUGAUGCAGGUAUGAAAAUUGUUGCAAGACCCGCGUGGUGCAGAACCACCGUCAGUCAAGUCUACAGAUAUUAUCAUACAAGUCAAACUCUUAUGCUAGCCACGACAGGCGACAAUCAAAUAUUUGGUACGGAUCCGAUACUCAAGACAGUGGAACCAGUUAAGAUGAUUCAGAAGCUUCCGCGAUAAGCCAGAAUUUGUCAGGAAAGCGGUUAUGACCCAACUCGCUGUUUGGAACCCGAAGGACCUGCAUUUAGUGGAGAAAACCAAUGCAAGGAUUUAGAGCUUGGGUGUCCACUAGAAAAAAUCUGAUCACCACUUCAUGAAAGAUUGUCAAUGACACACCCAGCAGAAAUCACUCUUGGAUUUGUGAAACCGACGUAUAUUUCAGUCGUGAGAAUCCAUCACAGUCAGCUAAGUCAGCAGAUCUAAAAAGAAAUUGGAGCCUGUAUAAGCAUGAACAAGCAAGGUAAGAUCUGUCAGAAUAUGGAUAUAUUAAAGCAAACCACCCCAGGACCAGUCAGAUAAAAAUUUAGGGGGGACAAAAAUAAGAAAAAGGAUACCCGAGUUGGAAACGGUUUCCUUAAGUCAGUAUCUUCAUACUUGUUCCCUGAGCAACCAAAUCUCGAGGACGAGAUUUCUUUAAGGGGGUAAGGUUUGUAACAGCCUGAUUUUUGGCCCUUUCUUUUUCUUUUGUUUUUCUGAGGUUUUUCCUUGAGAUUUCUUUUUCCGUGGCUUUGUGGUCUGGAAACUGAACAAGAUGCCCUCUUGUUUAUUUCCAGAGUGGCUUGUCAUUCCCAAAUCCUUCCCUAGACCCCGUCAUUUUCAUCCUAGCCCAAAUCCCAAUAUUCUCUUCAUUGGGAAUAUUCCUUUUCUACUAAAGGAAUAACUCAAGUUGCCCUAGGUUGUGAAGCAACCUUUACUUCCAUCACUCCUAAAAUUCCCAAAUAAUUCUCAUAAAUGUUUUGGGUCAUAUCUUUCCCAAAUAUGGUAAAAUAUUUCAUUUGUCAUGUUUAUCAUCAUGCUCAAAUAAUUCAUUUCCUAUUCUACCCUAAAUGGCACAUUGUGAAGCAAGUGCUAUUUUCCUUUUCCCAAGUGACCUCAAACUCCUUGGACACCUUUUCCUGUCCAUAUCAUUGCCACAUGCCAAAAUGCAACCUCAUUUGGCUAGUAAUUAUUUAAUUAUGAUUUUCCAAAGUUUCUAUCCAGAAAGAAGCUUUGUGAAGGAGGUGCAAUCUAGGCAUAUCCAAAUGAGUUUCCAUUUUGCAUGAUCCCUCAUAUCAUCAUAUCAUAGCCCUCCACCAAAGUAGAGCUCAUGUCAUGCCUCCAUGUGAGCUCAUCUUCAAUUCUUUGAUUCUGUCCAAAAUUUCAGCUUGUGAAGCAAGUAUAUUUUAUCUUGCUCCAUUAUGGCUGCCAAUUUUUCUAGGCCUUCUGUUAUCCAUAUAACCUACCUCCACCCAUUUUGGGCAUGUCUCAUCAAGCCAUUAUUUCUCUAGAAUUUUUCCAAGAUUCUGCACAGAAAUGAUGUUUGUAAAGAAAGUACCAUUUUAGAUGGUCCAUUUGGUAUGAGCUUUUUACAGCAUCUUUAUAUUUCCAUAUCAUGAGGAUUUGCCAAGUUGCAUCCCAUUCCAUAACUCCAUGUGAGUGCAUCAUCCAAAUCAAGUUUCUGGACCAAAAAUGCAGUUGCAAAGCAACCCUAUUAUUUAUUGGUCCAUUUCUUCUCUAAAUCUCCAGUAUUGUAGUUCUUCCUUAGUUAAACCUCCCAGACAACUCCUUUGACCUCAAUCAAGUCUCUGUGGAUUAGCAGUGCUCGUCCAAGUUUACUGAAGUAAACUUCAGAGCUUGAUUACCAUUUAACCAGAGAGAUUUUAACCAAACUACCACCGCAGUAGGAACCUCCCCUGGAUGAACUUGCCACUAGACAACACGCUCCAGAUCAUUUCCCCCGCUACAUGCCAGUGCACGCGGUGACCGCGUUAAUGGCAAGCCUGUGCGCGCGCUCUGCUACAAUUGGCCACACCCAGGAUGGAUUCUUGCUCGGGCCCCUCCUCCUCUCAUCGUAUUAGCACGCGUGAGCAUGUCCCUUGGCUUCACCUCGUCGUCGCCGAUCACAUGGACCCCGCUCCCCCUCAGGCAGCUUCCUCACCGACGAAAGCCGCAGCGUGCCCACGGGCGCACAGUGGCGUUUGGCUCGGUUCAUCGCCGUCGCCUUCCUCCUUGCGCUCCGUUGGCCUCCUCUGCCCCGUGAGACACUCCACUGCUCCUCCCCCGUCGUCUACCAGCGAGCUCAUGCGCGUGCACACACGUCCGCGGCGCCGGACACGCGUCCGCGGCGGCGCCAGCGCGACACUCCCUCGCCCGGCUAUAUAUAGCCAUCCCCGCGGCCUCCCGAGCACCUCAUCAGCCUCGCCUCACUCCCAGCUUCCUCCUCGUCCACUAGCCCGAGCUCGAGCAGCUCUCCUCGACCCCCAUCGCCGCCAUGCCCGCCGCUCUGCUCAGCUCAAAUUCGAGCUGGGCAGUGCCCCUCCCCCUCUCUUUCCACCACCAGUAGACUCCUCCUCCACCUAGACUUCGCCCCCGUGCUCUCCCUCCCCUCCGGUGGCCUUCUGCCAUGAGCUCGCCGCCGACCGAAGAUCGCCGUCCGCCGCGGCUGGCCUCCCGCUCAGCCGAGCCCUACCCCGCGGCUGCAUCUUGCCUGGAUGGAUCCGCCUCGUUGCGCUGAUCACGCCGGUAGGUCGCACGCCGCGAGAGGUGGCCGGAGUGGCCGGGAAUCCGCGUCGGGCCGCCGGUCUCGUCUCUACAUCGCGGGCGAGCGGGAGGAGGAAGAAGGAGCCAGGCCAGGCAGGCCCCAUCUCCACGCGGCCCCACCUGUCGGCGGGCAGGCGUUGACCCCGCCUGCCUAGCUGGAUAAGUGAGGGGCCCCACAGCCCGUGGGACCCGCACGUCAGCGACCCCACGCCCGGCCCCGCCACUGUCCACGUGGAUAAGUGGAAGCGUACUUCGCAGAAGUACGUUUUCGCCUUCAGAAAGCGUAUUUCUCUUCUGCUCCAGUCGUAAGUGCGCUUUCAUAGUUUGAAAACUAUUUUCUUCUUAGGCGCCUUCUGUUUUCUCACUCAGGGGCCUGUUUGUAGAGAUUCUUUUACAAAUCGGUCCCUGAACUUCGUCGGGCUAUAUCUUUUUACUCCCAACUCCAAAUGAGGUGAUUCCAAAGCCCAUUUCUUUGUCUCGUCGAGCCCGUUCUGUUGGUUUCAUUUUCACUAUGGUUUGACACUGUGAAAAUGACCAUUUUUUCCCUUGCCCGUAAACAGCCCCUCCGAGAGAGAACUGUUUCCGGCAAAUCUUUCCGCGAGCUUCUCGCGCUUCUUCCCUGUGUUUUCUUCAUCCCCAGGCAAGCCACAAUACCCACUUGCAUGAUAGUCAUGCAGUAGCCAUGGUUUUCAACUUGAAUAUUUAUUAAAUGAUUGGUUGUUUAAAAUAUGGUUAUCGUUGUUUUGGUAAUGCUUCUGGGUUAGUGCUUACUUGCUUGAUAUGUUGUUAUGCACCUGGUUAUCAUGCCCUGCUAGUUGCUAGUAUUACUUUCAUAUUUCCAUGCUUGAUAGUAGUACAUGUUGGGUUGGUCAUGUUCUUCGGUGCAUGAUUAACGUCGGUUAUCGAGUACUGUUAAUAUGCGUUCUUCCUUUGCUGUUAGUUGGUUAAGUGUUACUCGGUAAUGUUAUUGAUGAGUUCUUGCAUGGUAUUUAUGGUUGAUGCUAGUGGUCAUGUUUUACUAUGAGUAGUGUUGCACUUGUAAUAGUUAUGCUCGUCAUUAUGCCAUGUUCAGUUGGAGAUUAUUCAUAGUUGAUAUGGUGGAUCGUUAUGUUGUACCCUCAUGCUUAUGUUGAUCUCAUGCUCAUGCUUUGUAUAUGCAUCAUGUUAUUUUAUCAUGGCUCAGCAUAUUGCAUUCAAGUUUAACCAGAUUAAAUUCAACUUGAACAACUGUUGGCUGAGUCAUGGUGCCACCAUAUCGAAACUGACCAGUGCAACCACGCUUACCUUAUGGGAAGGUCCUAACUGGGUCUAUUGUCGUGCCUCUCGCCGGUGCCUCUAACGAGGGAAGGUUAUGGGCGCGCGCUACCCUGAUCAGGUAGGCGGACAUAACCUUGUGUGCCCGUUGUUGUUAUUAUGGAUCCGGUCCCCGUGAGGGACGUUUUGGCCACGACAGUGGUCGUUGUGUCUUUGGUAGAUACGGGGCCACCCAGGACUAGCCCAGUUGGGAGUGGGUCGGAGUGGCCGGGAGAGUGUCAUGGCAAUAGAUCGGUUUUGUCGGAACGCCGUUGGUCCACCCGAAUGGGAGUGCGAGGCCAGGGGUUCCGUGGUGUGGGUACAGUGUACUAACCUCUGCAGAGUGUAUAUUAAAUCUAUCGAUAGCCGCGCCCGCGGAUAAGGGCCCAGUUCGUGUCGGUCACACCGUGAGUCAACAGUAUUAAUAAUAACUUGAUUAAUGACAACCCCGGUUUGAUGAUGAGAUAACUUGGUUGUGAUCGCCGGAAAGAUCACCGUUUGAUACCAAGUGUUGGUCAUGGUUGUGAUCGCCGAAAUGAUCACCGUGGUAUCGAGGAUACCGAGUUGUUGGAUAUUCGUGAUGUUGUGCGAGAAUCAUGGGUAAAGAUCAAGCUCCUUGUGGUCAUUUAAUGAUUACUACGGUAUUGUUUAUACCAAGCUUGAUUUGAUCCUGAGAUGAUCGUGUGAUGUCCGAGGUUGGUAAGUGAUGCAUGUGAUGGUUACGUAGUAACCCGAGCAGAAUAAAUAGUGCAUAUAAUGUCUUCAUGUUGCAUGCUAGUAUUGUCGAAUUCAUAUGUUCAUGCUAUGCUCAUGUUGUUCUAGCUGUAUCAUGUUCAUGUUGCGCAAGUCAUGUUGUUAUGAGGAUCUCAUGUUAAUUCCUGCUUAACAUGUAAAUGCCAUGCUGAUGUUUGUCUUGAAUGCUUCUGGUUGAUGUGAGCUUGCAAGUACAUUCAAUGUACUGACCUGGCGUGUCAUGCCAGCUUGCAGGUCGUGCCUAGAUUGCUUGCUUGUUUGGUGUUGUUCCUGUGUUCACGAGCUAGGAUAAGCUUUCCAGUCAGAGUCCCUGUGGAGUGGAGUUCACCACCGUCGUCGUUGUUCCGCUGCCAGUAGUUGUUCCGCUGCCUCAAGUUGCUAUGCUGCUUGCAUAGAGCAACUGAGGAUGGCGUAGUGUCGCCGUGCCGAUGUUAUUCAUUGUAAUAUCGGAGACCUUGUAUUCAUAUCCGUGUAUUAAUAGAAAUCUGGUUUGUUCUAUGCUAAGCAGUGCCGUAUUCCAGAAGACUUCACCUCGAUCUCUAGGCUGGAAUACGGGGCGUUGCGGUUUU
rnacentral:lncRNA from 1 species